GAUGAACGCUGGCGGCGUGCUUAACACAUGCAAGUCGAACGGGAAACCUUUUAUUGAAGCUUCGGCAGAUUUAGCUGGUUUCUAGUGGCGGACGGGUGAGUAACGCGUGGGUAACCUGCCUUAUACAGGGGGAUAACAGUCAGAAAUGGCUGCUAAUACCGCAUAAGCGCACAGAGCUGCAUGGCUCAGUGUGAAAAACUCCGGUGGUAUAAGAUGGACCCGCGUUGGAUUAGCUGGUUGGUGGGGUAACGGCCCACCAAGGCGACGAUCCAUAGCCGGCCUGAGAGGGUGAACGGCCACAUUGGGACUGAGACACGGCCCAGACCCCUACGGGAGGCAGCAGUGGGGAAUAUUGCACAAUGGGGGAGACCCUGAUGCAGCGACGCCGCGUGAAGGAAGAAGUAUCUCGGUAUGUAAACUUCUAUCAGCAGGGAAGAUAAUGACGGUACCUGACUAAGAAGCCCCGGCUAACUACGUG
rnacentral:rRNA from 1 species